AUACUCUCAGCCUUCUAGGAUUGGUCCAGUCAAAGAAGGAACUCCACUCUCAACAUUCCCCCAACACAGAGAGACAUGAUACUUUGGUUGAUCCUCCUUCUUUUUGCAGCUCUCUCAGGCUGCCAGACAGAGGUUCAACUGGUGGAGACUGGAGGUGGUGUUGUGAGCCCCGGAGGCUCCCUCCGCCUCUCCUGCAAGGCUUCAGGAUUCACCUUCACUGACUAUCCGAUGCACUGGAUCCGGCAGGCUCCUGGAAAAGGACUUGAGUGGGUGGCUGGAAUUAGCAGCCCCAGUGGAAGCAGCCAGUGGUACAACCCCAAGGUUCAGGGGUGAUUCACCAUCUCCAGAGACAAUUCCCAGACUUCAGUCCAUCUACAAAUGGGCAGCUUGAAGCCUGAAGACUCUGCCUUGUAUUACUG